rnacentral:siRNA from 1 species
UGUAUAGCACGGGUUAUGAUCUA